GAGUGAAAAGGAGGAAGUUUAGUUAGCUCCGUGCUAAUGCUCAACCUGAUAGGCCUCAGGUGUGUGUAGCGUGUGUUUGAUCCUGUUCCAACCUCCUGAAACACCUGAAACACCUGAAACAAGGCCGCACACCUCCGUCCUCUGUAACUUCUGUCACGCUUCAGGAAACAGCCCAUAAUGUUUGGAUGGAUGAAUGGACGGAUGGACACAUUUCUGGCUGGUUGGUGGAUUGUGGGAUAUGACUGCCUGGCUUUAUGAGGGAGACUGUUGUGAAGCGAUAACGGCACAGGAAGUGUUGCCACAACAACCACUGGGACGAGACACAGCCUACAGAGGUCGUGCUCCAUGAAAAAUAAAUGAGUCCUGUCUCCGUGGGAUGCGCACAUGUUGGGUCACUCUGGGAUUCUGGGAACUUACUUGGAUCAUAUUACUGGAUCAAUGAACUUCUGCAUCUGGCUUAGCUGCACUUCCCACCGACUGCCCAGGCUUCCCCACCCAAGACACAUAACUGUUACUCAGAUGAUCUCAAACAACAAAAUCCUUUCUGCCAAAAAGGUGACCAACUCAUGUUUUGUUUGGCUUCACAGUUCAGAUAAAAGUUAAACCACCUUGUUGUAGUACCUUAAGUGCUGACAUCUUUAAAGCCACUUAUUUCAUGAAGUCCAAUGAAAUACAGACAAAAAUCUCUUUGGUGUAAGAGAUUUCACAGAAUACUUAUUGACCUUACACCUUAAUUAACAUUAUGAUUGUGGUUUAGAGCGAUUGAUACGUUUGCAGUUUUACAAAAUCUGAUUUGAAUUCAUCGCAAACCACUUUGAGUGGUGAUUUAAACAAUUGGAUUUCUUGUCUUGUUUGCCACCUGGUGGCUGGCUGCCACAUAGGUCCUAACCUCGCCUCCUUCAUGUAAGUUAAUGUGAAACCAUCCAAACUAAAGUGUGAAUGUCAAAGAUGGUUGUUUUAAGUAGUUCUCAUCCUACUGAUGCAUGUUCAAGCGUGAAAAUGGGGUGAAACAUCAUGAUUGACAGCUCAGACCUGAUACUGGCACUCCCUCCCAUGAUGAUUACAGCGCAGACUCUGUCUCCAAAUGACGUCAAAAGCACAACAGGGCAUUCCUGUAUCCAGAAUAGUUUGGCUUCAUGUUUAUACAAAGCGAAGCAAUGGAGGAGACGUGUCUUCCAUUAUAUAUACAGUCUAUGAUCAAGAUGCACAACACUGCAGCAGCAUGA